rnacentral:rRNA from 1 species
UGGGGAAUUUUGGACAAUGGGGGACACCCUGAUCCAGCCAUCCCGCGUGUGCGAUGUAGGCCUUCGGGUUGUAAAGCACUUUUGGCAGGAAAGAAACGUCAUGGGUUAAUACCCCGUGAAACUGACGGUACCUGCAGAAUAAGCACCGGCUAACUACGUGCCAGCAGCCGCGGUAAUACGUAGGGUGCAAGCGUUAAUCGGAAUUACUGGGCGUAAAGCGUGCGCAGGCGGUUCGGAAAGAAAGAUGUGAAAUCCCAGAGCUCAACUUUGGAACUGCAUUUUUAACUACCGGGCUAGAGUUUGUAAGAGGGAGGUGAAAUUCCGCGGGUAGCAGUGAAAUGCGUAGAUAUGCGGGGGAAAACCGAUGGCAAGGGCAGCCUCCUGGGAUAACACUGACGCUCAGGCAGGAAAGCGUGGGAAGCAAACAGG